UCGCCCUCAAGUCCACUACUCAACUCAAUGAGGAAUCUGAAGAAACAGAAAAUGAAGAACAAGAUGAAGAAAUGACUUUCAUCACUAGAAAGUUUAAAAUAUUUUUGAAAAAAAAUAAAAUAAAAUAAGGAAGAGGCCACCUACAAAAGAAGAGCAUAGCAAGGAGAAGGAUAAGGAGCAACCCCUUAUUUGUUAUGAUGUAAGA
rnacentral:lncRNA from 1 species